GAUGAACGCUGGCGGCGUGCCUAAUACAUGCAAGUCGAGCGAACAGACGAGGAGCUUGCUCCUCUGACGUUAGCGGCGGACGGGUGAGUAACACGUGGAUAACCUACCUAUAAGACUGGGAUAACUUCGGGAAACCGGAGCUAAUACCGGAUAAUAUAUUGAACCGCAUGGUUAAAUAGUGAAAGACGGUUUUGCUGUCACUUAUAGAUGGAUCCGCGACGCAUUAGCUAGUUGGUAAGUUAACGGCUUACCAAGGCAACGAUGCGUAGCCGACCUGAGAGGGUGAUCAGCCACACUGGAACUGAGACAAGGUCCAGACUCCUACGGGAGGCAGCAGUAGGGAAUCUUCCGCAAUGGGCGAAAGCCUGAAGGGGCAACGCAGCGUGAGUGAUGAAGGUCUUCGGAUCGUAAAACUCUGUUAUUAGGGAAGAACAAAUGUGUAAGUAACUAUGCACGUCUUGACGGUACCUAAUCAGAAAGCCACGGCUAACUACGUG
rnacentral:rRNA from 1 species